AGUGAACGCGGGCGGUAGGCCUAACACAUGCAAGUCGAACGGCAGCACAGUAAGAGCUUGCACUAACGGGUGGCGAGUGGCGGACGAGGGAGGAAUAAAUCGGAAUCUACCUUUUCGUGGGGGAGAACGUAGGGAAAAUUACGCUAAUAACGCAUACGACCUACGGGUGAGAGGUUGGGAUCUUCGGACCUUGCGCGAUACAAUGAGCCGAUGUCGGAUUAGCUAGGUGGCGGGGGAAAGGCCCGCGAAGGCGGCGAUCCGUAACUGGUCUGAGAGGAUGAUCAGCCACCCUGGAACUGAGACACGGUCCAGACUCCUACGGGAGGCAGCAGUGGGGAAUAUUGGACAAUGGGCGCAAGCCUGAUCCAGCCCUACCGCGUGGGUGAAGAAGGCCUUCUGGUUGUAAAGCCCUUUUGUUGGGAAAGAAAAGCAGCAGGUUAAUACCCCGCUGUUAUGACGGUACCCAAAGAAUAAGCACCGGCUAACUUCGUG
rnacentral:rRNA from 1 species